GGCCUAUUUCCGGCGGGCCGGUGCAAACCGCGAACUGCUAGAAUGGGCCUUCUGUCUGGAGGUGCGGUGCUUCCUAUUCACUUAGUGGUGCCGUGCGUCUAGUACCUUUACUUUGAACAAAUUGGAGUGUUUAAAGCAGGCAAACGUCUUGAACACAUUAGCAUGGAAUAAUCGAAUAGGGCUUUGGCUCUAUUUUGUUGGUUUUAAGGGCCGAAGUA
rnacentral:rRNA from 1 species